CGUUUGUAAUACAAAAUGACUGUAAACGGCAAACUUCGCAAGGCUAUAUCAUGGAUAAUAAAAUAAAUGGAUAGGAAACCAUAGAGAUUAUAAAUAACACUAGAGGAGGCAUCGAGUUUAAAAAUUGGGAACGCAGCUAAUGGGGGGCAAAUUCAAGUCCCGGAUAUAAAAUCGUGCUCUCAUUGGCUGAUUUGAAACUCGUCACCA